UACGAAGGGGGGCUAGCGUUGUUCGGAAUCACUGGGCGUAAAGCGCACGUAGGCGGACUUUCAAGUCAGGGGUGAAAUCCCGGGGCUCAACCUCGGAAUUGCCUUUGAUACUGUAGGUCUCGAGUCCGGAAGAGGUGGGUGGAAUUCCUAGUGUAGAGGUGAAAUUCGUAGAUAUUGGGAAGAACACCGAUGGCGAAGGCAGCCAUCUGGACCGACACUGACGCUGAGGCGCGAAAGCGGUGGGGAGCAAACGGG
rnacentral:rRNA from 1 species